AAAAAGAGAAAUAAAAAAAGCGGCUCUGACUCCAGCUCACAGGCUGGACGAACGAAAUGGCUCUCGGAGCCGGCUCUUUGAAGUGAACGAUCGGAGCGAUGUGUUCGCGACCGACACAUCACUACACAGGGGACAGUUUAGAGAGAAGCACGGGAAGGGAGGUUGGAGCGCGGCUGGGAAAGUUACCCGCUCCCGCUCCUGACCCGAUUUCCCCACCGAGACCGGCACGUCCUGUUCCCACCCCCUGUGUGGUCUCGUCUUGUACUUACUCGUAGGACUGACUUCCCAGAUUCCUACCUCCCUGCCCGUCAAAUGACCACGACUUUUGCCUGCCCCUAUCUGUACCUCUUCCCCGAUUACGCCAAUAAACAAGGUGUGGGAUUGCA